rnacentral:rRNA from 1 species
UACGAAGGGGGCUAGCGUUGCUCGGAAUCACUGGGCGUAAAGCGCACGUAGGCGGACUUUUUAAGUCAGGGGUGAAAUCCUGGAGUCAACUCCAGAACUGCCUUUGAUACUGGAAGUCUUGAGUUCGAGAGAGGUGAGUGGAACUGCGAGUGUAGAGGUGAAAUUCGUAGAUAUUCGCAAGAACACCAGUGGCGAAGGCGGCUCACUGGCUCGAUACUGACGCUGAGGUGCGAAAAGCGUGGGGGAGCAAACAGG